UCGAACAGGCUGAAGGUGUUCACCCGGUUCAGGCGGUAGUUGCGCUGCCAGCUCCUCAGCUCGGGGUCUUCGGACUCCCAGCCCCGCAGGGAGCGAUACUUGAGAGUCAGCCACCUGGGGGUGACAGGGACCAGGUCCAUCAUGCAGCCGCUGAGGUGGCACUGCGGGCAGCGGGGGACGGCGGUCAGGCCCAGGAGGGGCAGCUCGGGAGCGGAGUGGCAGGGCACCCAGGGCAGACUGACCUCCUCCAGCUUCCACAGGCCCGCCAGGCGCAGGACAAAACCAGCGGAAAGGCUGGAUGACCAGCUGACAGGGGCCCAGAGGGGACACAGCCGACGGCGGGCUCCCACGGGUCCCUGGACGCUGCGAAGACCUCGGGAGCCGGAGCAGGAGGCGUCUGCUGCAGACACCUCCCACGGUGGUCGCACGAGGACGGAGAAAGUCGCAUCUGGGGGCCCCACGUGGAGAAGGCUGGAGAACGUUACUCAAGAACAUUAACAAAAACCUGCUCUCCGGUCGGUCGGAAGCCCGGGGUGGGGGCGUUUCGGGGUAGACAGGAGGAUGCCCCACCCCCACCCCCAAAGACCUCCACGUCCUCCUCCCUGGAGCCUGUGACGGUCCUCUGACUCAGAAGAGGGCAUUCAGGUUGCUAUCUGCUGGCCUUAAAAGGGGGCCGUUCGUCAUCCAGGACCAGCGGGGUGUGCCCCAAGCCGCUGGCUUUGCAGGCGGAGCAGGGAGGGGCCUCUGGGAGCUGGAGGCGGCAGAAGAGCCCC